rnacentral:tRNA from 2 species
CAGUAGCUCAGUUGGUAGAGCAAUCGGCUGUUAACCGAUCGGUCGCAGGUUCGAGUCCUGCCUGUGGAGCCA